GUAUGUGUAUUUGGGGUGCCUCUGGACGGACCAUCCAGAGUUGUCCCACUCGACCAUAGAUAAGCGGCUCUGGUCCGGCCGCCUGCAGGUGAGUGUUUGUUGUAGUCGCUUUGUGUUUGUU